UACGUAGGGUGCAAGCGUUGUCCGGAAUUAUUGGGCGUAAAGGGCUCGUAGGCGGUCCAUCGCGUCGGGAGUGAAAGCUGGGGCUCAACCCCAGUCCUGCUUCCGAUACGGGUGGACUAGAGGUAGGCAGGGGAGAACGGAAUUCCGUGGUGUAGCGGUGAAUGACGCAGAUAUCAGGAGGAACACCGGUGGCGAAGGCGGUUCUCUGGGCCUUACCUGACGCUGAGGAGCGAAAGCGUGGGGAGCAAACAGG
rnacentral:rRNA from 1 species